UACGUAGGGUGCAAGCGUUGUCCGGAAUUACUGGGCGUAAAGAGCUCGUAGGUGGUUUGUCGCGUUGUCCGUGAAAACUCACAACUCAAUUGUGGGCGUGCGGGCGAUACGGGCAGACUGGAGUACUGCAGGGGAGACUGGAAUUCCUGGUGUAGCGGUGGAAUGCGCAGAUAUCAGGAGGAACACCGGAGUGGCAAGGCGGGUCUCUGGGCCACUAACUGACGCUGAGAAGCGAAAGCAUGGGGAGCGAACAGG
rnacentral:rRNA from 1 species